rnacentral:lncRNA from 1 species
CCUGGGCCCCUUCUCCGCGCAGACUCCCUCCUACCUCACCGGCGAGUUCCCCGGCGACUACGGCUGGGACACGGCGGGGCUCUCCGCCGACCCGGAGGCGUUCGCCCGCAACAGGGCGCUGGAGGUGAUCCACGGGCGGUGGGCGAUGCUGGGCGCGCUGGGCUGCAUCACGCCCGAGGUGCUCGAGAAGUGGGUGCGCGUGGACUUCAAGGAGCCCGUGUGGUUCAAGGCCGGCGCGCAGAUCUUCUCCGAGGGCGGGCUGGACUACCUGGGCAACCCCAACCUGGUGCACGCGCAGAGCAUCCUCGCCGUGCUGGGCUUCCAGGUCAUCCUCAUGGGCCUCGUCGAGGGCUUCCGCAUCAACGGCCUCGACGGCGUCGGCGAGGGCAACAACCUCUACCCGGGCGGCCAGUACUUCGACCCGCUCGGCCUCGCCGACGACCCCGUCACCUUCGCCGAGCUCAAGGUCAAGGAGAUCAAGAACGGACGCCUCGCCAUGUUCUCCAUGUUCGGAUUCUUCGUGCAGGCCAUCGUCACCGGCAAGGGGCCCCUCGAGAACCUGCUCGACCACCUCGACGACCCCGUCGCAAACAACGCCUGGGUCUACGCCACCAAGUUCGCGCCCGGGUCUUAAGAAGCUAGACGGCUGCUUCGUGCCUGCCACCAUUGUAGACUACUCGUUACUUUUGUACCACCAAUUAAUGCAAAUACCUUGUUCUCAGGAUUCAGGAAUGUGCAUUAUGCUCUCUGUCAGUUGUGGCUUGUGUGCUCCUGAAACAGAUGAUGUGCUGAACUGCUGAUUUACGAUCUAUACAUGUAGCUGCCUCUUUGCAUUUCAGUUCAUGUUUUGAGGUUUUGAC